AUCGCUUCUCGGCCUUUUGGCUAAGAUCAAGUGUAGUAACAGAUGUGGUUCACCUGCAACAUAUGGCUGAGUGUACUUUCUUUAACUUUGAGCAUUUGUGAUAGAUCUAUAUUGUUUGCAUACAGCAUUCACAGGAUUUGGCAUAGAUAUACCUUAUAAAGGCCAAAAAAGCCUAA
rnacentral:snRNA from 1 species